rnacentral:rRNA from 1 species
GACGAACGCUGGCGGCGCGCCUAACACAUGCAAGUCGAACGGAGCUGCGAGAAGCUUGCUUUUCUUAGCUUAGUGGCGAACGGGUGAGUAACGCGUGAGUAACCUGCCCUGGAGUGGGGGACAACAGUUGGAAACGACUGCUAAUACCGCAUAAGCCCACGAUCCGGCAUCGGAUUGAGGGAAAAGGAUUUAUUCGCUUCAGGAUGGACUCGCGUCCAAUUAGCUAGUUGGUGAGGUAACGGCCCACCAAGGCGACGAUUGGUAGCCGGACUGAGAGGUUGAACGGCCACAUUGGGACUGAGACACGGCCCAGACUCCUACGGGAGGCAGCAGUGGGGGAUAUUGCACAAUGGGGGAAACCCUGAUGCAGCGACGCUGCGUAGAGGAAGAAGGUUUUCGGAUUGUAAACUCCUGUCGUUAGAGACGAUAAUGACGGUACCUAACAAGAAAGCACCGGCUAACUACGUG